UACGGGGGGGGCAAGCGUUGUUCGGAAUUACUGGGCGUAAAGGGCUCGUAGGCGGCCAACUAAGUCGGACGUGAAAUCCCUCGGCUUAACCGGGGAACUGCGUCCGAUACUGGAUGGCUUGAGUUCGGGAGAGGGAUGCGGAAUUCCAGGUGUAGCGGUGAAAUGCGUAGAUAUCUGGAGGAGCACCGGUGGCGAAGGCGGCAUCCUGGACCGAUACUGACGCUGAUGAGCGAAAGCCAGGGGAGCAAACGGG
rnacentral:rRNA from 1 species